rnacentral:rRNA from 1 species
UACGAGGGGGGCAAAUGUUGUUCGGAAUCACUGGGCGUAAAGGGAGCGUAGGCGGGUUUUUAAGUCAGGUGUUUAAUCCCGGGGCCCAACCCCGGACAGGCACUUGAAACUGGGAAUCUUGAAUAGUGGAGAGGUCAGUGGAAUUGGGGGUGUAGCGGUGGAAUGCGUAGAGAUCCCCAAGAACACCCGUUGCGAAGGCGGCUGACUGGACACAUAUUGACGCUGAGGAGCGAAAGCGUGGGGAGCGAACAGG